UUAUCUUAACGGGAGUGGGCUGUUUGUUGUUAACAAUUGGCUAUUUUUCAGAGUCAUUUUCAAUCCCUAUUUUUCACUAUAUAAUGGGAUUUCAAACAUCAGCAAGGUGAAGGAGCUCUACUAAAAUCUGAUUGGGAAAAGGUCCAGCAAACAAUCAGAAUCAUAGUGAGUUUCUACUUGAGAAACCAUUGAAAGAUGACUGAAAAACAGUAGCAAAAAUCAUGAUUGUGAGGCCACAUGUCGUGGACCGAAGGAUCCCAACAUGAUUUUUGUUUGAUUCGAAAUUUGACUGUUGCCAAGAGUUUAAGUUAAUAUACAUAACUCAAAAAAAAACUAAAAUCCAAUACAAUGAAAAAAAACCGAACAAAUUUUCAAGUAGAAUACAGUUCAUAUCGAAUAUUGCACGUAUACUUUUUUUAGGAAGAAUAUUGAGUGGCAAUUAACAUCGGAUUACUAGUAGCAAUAAUUAGCCCAGGCCCAGCUAUGGUGCAUCCACAACAUGCACGCGGCAGAACAGCAGAAGCCGACGUCGGCCGUGAAGCAUUUUGGGCCGGCUGCACUGCACACACGGAUCACAUUUGAGACGGGCCGGAUAGCAUUUUGGAUCACACUGCGGGUCCAAAUAAGCCCAUCAUGAGGCCACAAUGAAACAACAAAACACUAAUCUGAAACAUGACAGGAGAUUCUUAUAUAUUAAACAAAAAAGGGGAAAUGAAACACAGAAGCAUGACCUCAGAAAAGAACAAGUUUGAACCAUUAAAAACCGACUGAAGUUAGUUCAAUAAUAGCCGGCUUUUAAAAACAUAAAAUCUUAUAUGAAUCAAGUAUAGUAAAAAGAAGCCCCUUUCCUCACGUUAACAAUAGCAGAGGACAUUCAUAAAACCUACCACUAUAUAUGUUUUGAGAAAAUUAUCUACUUGGC
rnacentral:lncRNA from 1 species